rnacentral:rRNA from 1 species
CAUAUUCUUUAGAAAUUAAUAAAGAUGCUGCCUGCCCGGUGAAUGUUUUAACGGCCGCUUAUGUGCUAAGGUAGCAUAAUAAAUUGUCUUUUAAUUGAGGACUAGAAUGAAUGGCUAAACGGUAGCUUGACUGUCUCAAGUUUGAAUCACAAAAUUGCUUUUAAGUGAAAAUGCUUAAAUUCAACAAAAGGACGAGAAGACCCUGUAGAGCUAAAACUAAACAUAAUAAAUAUAUGUUGGUUUUUUAUUGGGGCAAUAACAGAGAAAAACUCUGAAAAAAUACACUAAGUUACACCCAAUCCCCAAAGGGAAAAAAGCAAAGCUACCUCAGGGAUAACAGCGUAAUUCUAUCGGAGAGACCUGAUCGAUGAUAGAGUUUGCGACCUCGAUGUUGGACUAAGACAGCUCCACGGCGCAGCAGCCCUGAAGAGUGAGCCUGUUCGGCUUAAAAGU